rnacentral:antisense_RNA from 1 species
GCAUGCACUGCCUUAGUGACCAGGGAAGGCACCCCACGUCUAUGGGGAAAUUAGCCUGAGACUUAGCUUUCAUUAUCACUGUCUCCCAGGGUGUGCUUGUCAAAGAGAUAUUCUGCCAAGCCAGAUUCGGGUGCUCCCAUCUUGCGCAAGUUGGUCACGUGGUCACCCAAUUCUUUGAUGGCUUUCACCUGCUCAUUCAGGGCACUAAUAUACACAUGAUGAUACUUAAUUCUCUCAGAAAACCUUUGGCAAAGACACUGUCUACAUCUUGAAGGCAAGGAAUCUGAAUCUUGAAGAGAUUAAAUGAAUUGUCCAAAGUCACGUGGGGGUUUGGGAGAAGGAAAAUCAUGAACACACAUUCUUCUACUCUGGAGAAGUGGGGAAGGUGACCUGGGAAACCAUAUGAAAGGGAGCAGGAUGGAUUCUAUAAAAUAUAGAGUGUUCAGUGAAAACAACCUGAUGCUCCUCCCAGUACCAUCACAUUUUUCUAGCUGCAUAUCCCUAGGCAUGAGGCUGAAGCCAGGAAAUGACCCAACAUUGAGGGUAAUCUGGGCACUGAAGGCACUACAAUACCCAGGAUUUUUCAAGAAAAUGUCGAAUGUGCUGCCACAUAUGUCGGAUGCACAUGGAUCCCCUCCCACAAGGAAAAUCACGAUUGAAGAUCACCUCCUUGAAGAUGUCGUAUUGGGAGCGGUGUUUUUCCCUGUUGCUGACAGGUUAGACUUGCACAGGCGUCAGUACUGAGGUAUGAGACGGAGCCCAUGUAUGGCUUCUAUCUCUGCACUGUGGCUGCUCCGUUCAUGUGUCAGUCACAUCAGCUCAGAGACUGCCUAAUGUCAACUGGCCUAGUCAUUUUGUC